CGGAGACAGACAGUAACUUCAGCAAAAUCAGAUAUUUGGGCUGCUUGACCUCAUUGCGUGAUUGCUAUGAAUUAACAAGACUUUGUGGGAAAAGGGAACUUGCCUUUUGAGCUUUGUACCAAAGACCUGGGUAAAAACUAACCAUCUCAGUCUUUCCUGAGUACUUGGAAACUGCCGAGACCCCUGCUAAUGUGCUGACUGGUCGCUAUGGGCAGACGGUACCCGGAGGCUCACUGUCACCCAAGCAGCUCAUGUACGUAUGGGAUUGGUCCCUCUUCUUUUUUCCUUUAAGUUUCAUUGUAGACUAUUGCAGUAAAGGUUUGUAACAUUUAAAUGAGAGUGUUUAGAAAUGCAGGAGGAUGCGUUGCUCUAGGGUACGUUUUUAAUAUUGAAUGAUGGGAAAUGUUAUUUAAAUUAGGCUUUUUCUAAUCCAGU
rnacentral:lncRNA from 1 species